rnacentral:rRNA from 1 species
GAUCCUGGCUCAGGAUGAACGCUGGCGGCGUGCCUAACACAUGCAAGUCGAGCGAAGCACUUUGCUUAGAUUCUUCGGAUGAAGAGGAUUGUGACUGAGCGGCGACGGGUGAGUAACGCGUGGGUAACCUGCCUCAUACAGGGGGGAUAACAGUUGAAAUGACUGCUAAUACCGCAUAAGACCACAGCACCGCAUGGUCGGGGGGGUAAAAAAACUCCGGUGGUAUGAGAUGGACCCGCG